rnacentral:tRNA from 1 species
UCUCUGGUGGUCCAGUGGUUAAGAGUCUGUGCUUUCACCGCAAGGAGCACAGGUUCGAUCCCUGUUCAGGGAA